rfam:Candidatus Peregrinibacteria bacterium RIFCSPLOWO2_02_FTLL_39_10 rifcsplowo2_02_scaffold_8636, whole genome shotgun sequence.
AACAAGUUACUUAAAAGCAGAAAGUGGAUGCCUCGACUUCAAACUCCGACGAAGGACGUAGCUAGUUGCGAUAAGCUUCGGUGAGCCGCUAAGCAGGCAAUGACCCGGAGAUUUCCGAAUAGGGUAACCUUUAGUCAGUCAUGUGACUAAAUAAUAUGCAAAAUUCAUAUGCAUAUUAAGGCGACCUAGCGAACUGAAACAUCUUAGUACCUAGGGAGGAGAAAUCAAUAGAGAUUCCCUUAGUAGUGGCGAGCGAACAGGGAACAGCCUAAACCCUGCCAUACGUGGCAGGGGGUUGCAGGACCUCAAUAUGAACUUUAUUUCUGUUAGCCAAAGCAUCUGGAAAGUUGCACCAUAGAGGGUAAUAGUCCCGUCGGCGAAAACAGGGUAAAGUUCUAGAGUGUUCCUAAGUAAGGUCGGACACGUGUAAUCCGGCCCGAAUCUGGGAGGACCAUCUUCCAAGGCUAAAUAGGUUUGAAGAUCAAUAGUGAACAAGUACCGCGAGGGAAAGGUGAAAAGCACCCCGGUGAGGGGGAUGAAAUAGAACCUGAAACUUUUUGCUUACAAAGAAUCGGAGCUUGGCGCAAGCCUUGUGACGAUGUACUUAUUGGAGAAUGGGCCAACGAGUUAACUGUACGGCGCGUUAGGUUAAGGGAAUUAUACCCGAAGCCAUAGUGAAAGCGAGGGUGAAUAACCCGUUAAGUGUCGUGCAUUAGACCCGAAACUGAAUGAUCUAUCCAUGGCCAGGUUGAAGGUUGCCGAGAGGCGACUGGAGGACCGAACCAACCAGUGCUGCAAAACUGGUGGAUGAGCUGUGGAUAGCGGCGAAAAACCAAACGAAUUCAGAGAUAGCUGGUUCUCCUCGAUAUAGCUUUAGGGCUAGCCUUGUACUAAUUUCAGCAGGGGUAGAGCUCUAUUUAGGCUAGGGGACGAAAUAAGUCUACCAAACCUAGAUAAACUUCAAAUACUGCUAAAAAAUUCUACAGGAGUCGGACUAUGACAGCUAAGUGCCGUAGUCGUGAGGGUAACAGCCCAGAUCACCAUCUAAGGUCCCUAAUAAAGUCUAAGUGGAAAAGGAUGUAAAAUUGCGUAUACAGCCAGGAGGUUGGCUUAGAAGCAGCCAUUCCUUUAAAGAGUGCGUAACAGCUCACUGGUCUAUGUGAUUUUGCGCCGAAAAUAUAACGGGGCUCAAGGCUUUAACCGAAGAUGUGAAUGGCUCAGCAUUCGUGCUGGGUCGUGGUAGAGGAGCGUUCCUGUCAGCGUCGAAGCUUCGUCGUUAGGCGGAGUGGAGCGUCAGGAAGUGAGAAUGUUGGCAUAAGUAACGUGUAUGUCAGAUGAAAAAUCUGACCACCGAAAACCCAAGGUUUCCCAAGCAACGUUAAUCGGCUUGGGGUUAGUCGAUCCUAAGGCGAGACCGAAAGGUGUAGUCGAUGGAUAACAGGUUAAUAUUCCUGUACAAUUUAAUUUUCGACAGAGCAAUACUUGAGGGACAUGAAACUAACUUUUGAUGGCUUCGGCUUGAUAAAGAAGGUUUUGUAGACUGAUAGUGGCGCUAGCUAAGGGGGGACGCAGCAGGAUAUCUGGAGCGUGUUAACGAAUUCACGUGCAAAUUGUUAGUCUAUGUUCUACACAGGAAAAUCCGGUAGGAUUCGCGAGCAAUGAUGCAAAAUGUCCGGCCUUUGGCUGGAUGAUUCCAGAGAGUUCAGCUGUCAAGAAAAUCCUCGUAGCGAGACAAUUAAAUUUUCGUACCGCAAACCAACGCAGGUGGGUGCCCUUAGUACGGGAAGGUGAUCGAGAAAACUAUUGCUAAGGAACUCGGCAAAACAACAGGUGUAACUUCGGGAUAAACCUUCCCUCUCUUUUAGAGAGGGCGCAGCGAAAGACUUCAUGCAACUGUUUAUCAAAAACACAGGUCUCUGCAAACCCUUACGGGGAUGUAUAGGGACUGACGCCUGCCCAGUGCCAGAAGGUCACGAGGAGGGGUGUAUGCUCUGAAUCUAAGCCCUGGUGAACGGCGGCCGUAACUAUAACGGUCCUAAGGUAGCGAAAUUCCUUGUCGGGUAAGUUCCGACCCGCACGAAUGGCGUAAUGAUGUGAAGACUGUCUCGGCAAUAGACUCGGUGAAAUUGCAGAACUGGUAAAAAUGCCAGUUAAUCAUGGAAAGACGAAAAGACCCCGUGCAGCUUUACUAUAGCUUGACAUUGGUUCUGUGUACAACUUGCGCAGGAUAGGUGGGAGACUUCGAAGCUUUGUCUUUGGACAGAGUGGAGUCGCCGUUGAGAUACCACCCUUGUUGUACUUAGGAUCUAACUUAUAACCGUAAUCCGGUUUAAGGACAGUGUUUGGUAGGUAGUUUGACUGGGGCGGUCGCCUCCUAAAGAGUAACGGAGGCGCGCAAUGGUUCCCUAGGCCUGGAUGGAAAUCAGGCUGAUAGUNNNNNNNNNNNNNNNNNNNNNNNNNNNNNNNNNNNNNNNNNNNNNNNNNNNNNNNCAGGUGAUAAUGAUCCGAUAGUGGCAUGUGGGUGCGCUAUCGCUCAACGGAUAAAAGUUACGCCGGGGAUAACAGGCUUAUAGCUUCCAAGAGUUCAUAUCGACGAAGCUGUUUGGCACCUCGAUGUCGGCCCGUCCUAUCCUGGAGCUGGAGAAGGUUCCAAGGGUUUGGCUGUUCGCCAAUUAAAAGGGUACGCGAGCUGGGUUCAGAACGUAAAUAACAUUGCGUUCUAUCCGAGUAAUCGGAUACAAUAAAUCUGACUAAAAUCGGUGAAACCCUCUUUCAGUUUCGAACGCUGAAAAGGGUAACCCCGAGGGUAAGCCAAAAUUAUUGUGAUUGAUAAAGAAUUAGCUUAUAUUGCAGGUUUUCUUGAUGGAGAUGGAUGUAUAAUGCUUCAAUUGGUAUAUAGACAUGAUUAUGUNNNNNNNNNNNNNAUACGAGCAAGUAUUGUCUUCUAUCAAAAACAGCAAAAUAAGUUUUUUCUGGAGUGGUUAAAAAAUAAAUUUAAUAAUUAUGGAUAUAUUCGCAACAGACCUGAUAAUAUGAGUGAAUAUACCAUUGUCGGAAUGAAGCAAGUGUCUGAAAUAUUAAAUCUAUUAAACCCAUUUCUUAUUCUUAAAAAGCGACAAGCUGAAAUUGCUUUGUCUGUCAUUCGAAAAAUGCCAGGAAAGGGUAAAAAAAUGAAUGCGGACUUGUUGCUUGGUUUGGCUCGAGAAGUAGAUAAAUUUUCUUAUUUGAAUUAUUCAAAGAAGAGAACAAAUACUUCCGUCAAAGUUAAAGAAUUUUUACAAUUACAUAAUGUUGGAUCCCGUAGAGACUGAUCCCUAGGCUUGGUUUAGUCGCCAAGAGUAAGGUGAGAAUAUUUUUUAUUAAGAAUAUUCAUAUGUCAGCUCCUAGAUUAGUUAAUGACUUUGAUCUAGGAUGAAGGUAUAGUCCAUGCCUUUAGAAAUAAAGGAUUAGCAUGCGUGAGACAGUUCGGUCUAUAUCUUCCAUGAUCGUUGGAUUCUUGAAGGGAUGUUGCUCCUAGUACGAGAGGACCGGAGUGAACGAACCUCUAGUGUAUCUGUUGUCGCGUCAGCGGCAUGGCAGAGUAGCUAGGUUCGGUUGGAUAACCGCUGAAAGCAUCUAAGUGGGAAACCAUCCCCAAGAUUAGGAAUCCUUAUAGCCUCCCCGUAGACUACGGGGUUGAUAGGCUGCAGAUGUAAGCACGGUGACGUGUUGAGUCGAGCAGUACUAAUAGGCGAUUAUAUUUGUUUC